UACGGGGGGUGCGAGCGUUGUCCGGAAUCACUGGGCGUAAAGGGCGCGUAGGUGGUUUGAUAAGGGUGUGGUGAAAGUCCGGGGCUCAACUCCGGAUCUGCCGUGCCGACUGUCAAACUCGAGGGCUGUAGAGGCAGACGGAAUUCCGGGUGUAGCGGCGGAAUGCGUAGAGAUCCGGAGGAAGACCGGUGGCGAAGGCGGUCUGCUGGGCAGUUUCUGACACUGAGGCGCGACAGCGUGGGGAGCAAACAGG
rnacentral:rRNA from 1 species